rnacentral:rRNA from 1 species
AACGAACGCUGGCGGCAUGCCUAACACAUGCAAGUCGAACGCUUGUCGGGCUUCGGUCCGGCAAGAGUGGCGCACGGGUGAGUAGCGCGUGGGAACCUGCCCUGGAGUGGGGGGUAACCGAGGGAAACUUCGGCUAAUACCGCAUGCGCCCCGGGGAUAAGCCGGGGGAAAGCUUUAUCGCUCUAGGAGGGGCCCGCGUCGGAUUAGCUGGUUGGGGGGGUAACGGCCUACCAAGGCGAUGAUCCGUAGCUGGUCUGAGAGGGUGAUCAGCCACACUGGGACUGAGACACGGCCCAGACUCCUACGGGAGGCAGCAGUGGGGAAUAUUGGACAAUGGGCGCAAGCCUGAUCCAGCAAUGCCGCGUGAGUGAUGAAGGCCUUAGGGUUGUAAAGCUCUUUCGCCCGCGACGAUGAUGACGGUAGCGGGAGAAGAGGCCCCGGCUAACUUCGUGCCAGCCGCCGCCGUAAAAC